UACGGAGGGGGCUAGCGUUGUUCGGAAUUACUGGGCGUAAAGCGCACGUAGGCGGACCAGAAAGUUGGGGGUGAAAUCCCGGGGCUCAACCUCGGAACUGCCUUCAAAACUAUUGGUCUUGAGUUCGAGAGAGGUGAGUGGAAUUCCGAGUGUAGAGGUGAAAUUCGUAGAUAUUCGGAGGAACACCAGUGGCGAAGGCGGCUCACUGGCUCGAUACUGACGCUGAGGAGCGAAAGCGUGGGGAGCGAACAGG
rnacentral:rRNA from 1 species